GAUCCUGGCUCAGGAUGAACGCUGGCGGCGUGCCUAAUACAUGCAAGUCGAACGCUGGAGAUCUAGCUUGCUAGAUCGAAGGAGUGGCGAACGGGUGAGUAAUACAUAAGCAACCUACCCACGAAGACUGGGAUAAUCUCUGGAAACGGGGACUAAUACCGGAUAGGUAAUCGGAAGGCAUCUUCUGGUUAUUAAAGGUUAAAAACACUGGUGGAUGGGGCUUAUGGCGCAUUAGUUAGUUGGUGAGGUAACGG
rnacentral:rRNA from 1 species